rnacentral:lncRNA from 1 species
ACCUCCGUUACUGUUACUAAUCCUUCGUUAGUUCAAAACCGAUUCAAAAAUCAAUUCAAAAUAUGGCAAACAACAAAAGUUUUCAAAUAUUAAAACUAAAAUGUUCGGGGGGAUUCAAAUAAAUCAUGGAUAAUUAUGAUGGAGAAAACCACACUUAUAUAAAAUCUUUAAAUACUCAAAAAUAAAUAAAACAGUAGUCAAAACAAUUAUUGAAAUGCCGUUAUAAUUAAUAAAAUGUUAAACUAUUCUAAUUAGGUGUUAAACUUUUUAUCGCAGUGGGUUUAGUGAUAGUACUAAUUUAGGGAUCAUUUUGUGCUUUACAAAACUAAAAUAAAAUGAGAAAUAAAAUAAAACAGUAAAGGUAAAUAAAUAAAAGAAAACACAAAAAAAAGAAGACAAAAAAGGGAAAAGGCACCCCCCCGCCCCCCGCGCUGGGCCAAGUGGCCCAGCUGGCCUCAGCCGCCCGAAUGGGCCGGCCCACCCCCUACCUACCUAACCCCACUACCCCGAAACCCUAACCCCCCCCACGCGCUCCACUCCCUCCCCCGUUUCCCUGGAUCGGGAUNNNNNNNNNNNNNNNNNNNNNNNNNNNNNNNNNNNNNNNNNNNNNNNNNNNNNNNNNNNNNNNNNNNNNNNNNNNNNNNNNNNNNNNNNNNNNNNNNNNNNNNNNNNNNNNNNNNNNNNNNNNNNNNACUCGCCCGUUCUGGAUCGACGGGAGGGACCCGAUCCCGCGCCGCCCGACGCCCGCAACGCCGUCGCUUCGUCGCCCCCCGUCGCCAUCGCCCCGCCACCAACACUGGACGACGUCGCCGCCGCCCGGAAGCGCCUCCGCCUCGACCACCACCGUCGCCAACCACCGCCACCUCACCGACGCCGCCCGGCGCUGCCCCGCCGUCGCGCGCCUCCUCAACCCCCUCUUGCGUGGAUCCGGUCGGGGCAAUCGACGCCCCCGACGACCUGCGCCGACGCCGGACGACCCCCCGCUGGAGCCACCCCGCCAUCCGCCGUCGUUGGCGCCGCCUCCCCGUCUACGUCGCUCGUCCCCAUCCUCCUCCUCGCCGGACACCAUCGAGCCACGCCGCCCUCUCCCCUACAACGAACGUGAGCACGCCUCGUGCUCCCUCUCUGCCCUCCUGUGGUGGCCGUGUCCUGCUCCUACCGCUGGCCGCCCCUGUCCCGUGCGCCGUCACCUUCGUUCACCGCCCGCCUCCCCCUGCGGCUCCGGCCUAGCCUCCCGGCGGCCACUGCCGCAGCUCCUGCUGGGCCGCAGCCGAGCGCCACCUUCGCCCGCACAGCCUCCGGCGGCCGCCCGCGCACCACCACGGCCUCGCNNNNNNNNNNNNNNNNNNNNNNNNNNNNNNNNNNNNNNNNNNNNNNNNNNNNNNNNNNNNNNNNNNNNNNNNNNNNNNNNNNNNNNNNNNNNNNNNNNNNNNNNNNNNNNNNNNNNNNNNNNNNNNNNNNNNNNNNNNNNNNNNNNNNNNNNNNNNNNNNNNNNNNNNNNNNNNNNNNNNNNNNNNNNNNNNNNNNNNNNNNNNNNNNNNNNNNNNNNNNNNNNNNNNNNNNNNNNNNNNNNNNNNNNNNNNNNNNNNNNNNNNNNNNNNNNNNNNNNNNNNNNNNNNNNNNNNNNNNNNNNNGGCACCAGCGCCCGAACCGCCCCGUUUGGCCCUAGGGCCACUGACAGUGGCCCCCCCUGGAAACUUGUUUAAAAAAAAGGAAUUAAAAAAAAUAAAGUUAUAAAAAUAAUAAUAAUAAAAUUUAGUUAAUUAACUUAAUUAAUCUGUUUAAUUAAAUAAUUAAAACUAAUUAUUCAAUUAAUAAAAACUAACUACUGUUUAGUUAACCUGAGACUAUGACGAACGGGACCCACGCGUCUGUUGACCCAGUCAACAGAUGGUUGACUGAUGACAUCAUGCUGACCUCAUGCUGACGUCAUAAUUAAUUUUCUAAUUGAAUUAAUUCUAGAAAUAAUUUAAAUCUUUAUAAAUUAAUAUAAAAUAAUCCGUAGCUCGGAUGAAAAAACUUUGUACAUGAAAGUUGCUCAGAACGACGAGACGAAUCCGGUUACGCAGCCCGCUCGUCCGCCACGCAUCCCUAGCAUAACGAACACGCAACUUUUCCCCUCCGAUUCAUCUGCCCGAAAACGCGAAACACCGGGGAUAUUUUCCCGGAUGUUUCCCCCCUUCACCGGUAUCACCUCAUACCGUGUUAGAACACGUCUAGCUCUGCCUGUUGUCCUGUUAUGCACUUGCUUGCUAUGUAUUUACUGUUUCUCCCCCCUCUUCUCUUCGGUAGACCCCGUGACGCUGCUGAUGCCCCUGUGGUCGACUACGUCACCGAUGACCCCUCCUUCUUGUCUGAGCAACCAGGCAAGCCCCCCCCUUGAUCACCAGAUAUCGCCUACUCUACUCUCUACUACUUGCAUUAGAGUAGUGUAGCAUGUUACUGCUUUCGAUUAAUCCUAUUCUGUUGCAUAGCCUGUCAUUGUUGCUACAGUUGUUUCCCUUACCUGCUAUCCUACUGCUUAGUAUAGGAUGCUAGUUUUCCAUCAGUGGCCCUACAUUCUUGUCCGUGUGCUGUGCUAUACUAUCGGGCCGUGAUCACCUGGGCGGUGAUCACGGGUAUAUACUAUAUACAUUAUAUACAUGACACAUGUGGUGACUAAAGUCGGGUCGGCUCGAGGAGUACCCGCAAGUGGUUCUGAUGAGGGGGCUGAAAGGACAGGUGGCUCCACCCUGGUAGAGGUGGGCCUGGGUUCCUGACGGCCCCCGACUGUUACUUUGUGGCGGAGCGAUAGGGCAGGUUGAGACCGCCUAGGUGAGAGGUGGGCCUGGCCCUGGUCGGCGUUCGCGGAUACUUAACACGCUUAACGAGAUCUUGGUAUUUGAUCUGAGUCUGGCCAUUUGGUCUAUACGCACUAGCCAUCUACGCGGGAGUAGUUAUGGGUAUCCCGGCGUCGUGGUAUCAGCCGAAGCCUUCUUGACGUCAGCGACUGAGUGGCGCGCGCCGGAUUGGACUGGAACGCCACUAGGCUAGGUCUGCUUCCGGCCGCGUACGCAACGUGCAGGUGUGCAUAGGGCGAUGGGCCCAGACCCCUGCGCGCAUAGGGUUAGACCGGCGUGCUGACCUCUCUGUUGUGCUUAGGUGGGGCUGCGACGCGUUGAUCUUACGAGGCCGGGCAUGACCCAGAAAAGUGUGUCCGGCCAAAUGGGAUCGAGCGUGUUGGGUUAUGUGGUGCACCCCUGCAGGGAAGUUUAUCUAUUCGAAUAGCCGUGUCCCUCGGUAAAAGGAUGACCCGGAGUUGUACCUUGACCUUAUGACAACUAGAACUGGAUACUGAAUAAAAUACACCCUUCCAAGUGCCAGAUAUAACCCGGUGAUCGCUCUCUAACAGGGCGACGAGGAGGGGAUCGCCGGGUAGGAUUAUGCUAUGCGAUGCUACUUGGAGGACUUCAAUCUACUCUCUUCUACAUGCUGCAAGAUGGAGAUGUCCAGAAGCGUAGUCUUCGACAGGACUAGCUAUCCCCCUUUUAUUCUGGCAUUCUGUAGUUCAGUCCACUGAUAUGCCCCUUUACACAUAUACCCAUGCAUAUGUAGUGUAGCUCCUUGCUUGCGAGUACUUUGGAUGAGUACUCACGGUUGCUUUUCUCCCUCUUUUCCCCUUUCUAUACCUGAUUGUCGCAACCAGAUGCUGGAGUCCAGGAGCUAGAGAUCCCGAGGAUGAUGCUACAUGGAGUUCGUCUUCGAGGAGUAGUUAGGAGGUCCCAGGCAGGAGGCCUUGCCUUUUCGAUCGUUGCCAUUUUUGUGCUAGCCUUCUUAAGGCAAACUUGUUUAACUUAUGUCUUUACUCAGAUAUUGUUGCUUCCGCUGAAUCAUCUAUGAUCGAGCACUUGUAUUCGAGCCCUCGAGGCCCCUGGCUUGUAUUAUGAUGCUUGUAUGACUUAUUUAUGUUGUAGAGUUGUGUUGUGAUAUCUUCCCGUGAGUCCCUGAUCUUGAUCGUACACAUUUGCGUGCAUGAUUAGUGUACGGUCAAAUCGGGGGCGUCACAAGUUGGUAUCCGAGCCAACUGCCUGUAGGAAUCCCCCUUUCCACACUCCUUGGCCGCAGUCGAGUCUAGACAUUACAAGAACUUUUACUAACAUGGCUGUGUGUCUUACGGGCCCACGUCGCCAUUGGGUGGUAUUAGGAUCUUUUACUCCUCGUCUAUACUCUGGGACUCUGAUCUCUCUUCUAUUCGGGUUAAGUGAAUUUUACUAAAUCUAACAUUAGGAUCUCGUUCUCACUUUCACCCGGAGAGCCCCUUAUUGCUGAUGAUCGUCUGCUGCACGUGAAGACCCUGAAGAUACUCUCCGCUGAUAACCCGAGAACUUGUGUUCAUUGCUUUUGCAAUUAUCUUUCAUCGAUAAACUCCUAUGGAUAACGACGUAUACUCGCCAUUCAUACAAUGUUUCCCCGUUGAUCUUGUUAUUACAAGAUACCCCGAAAUUCUCUCUGUUGUUCCGAGAAUCCUUUGAGCUUACUGCCUUGCUGUUCCUUGUCACCUGAAUACCCCUACGGAUAAUUCUCGCACUUACCGAGUAUCCGCUCGUCCCCAGUUGAUUCAAGUAAUUCACAUAAGCCUUUGAAAUACUAUUUGAACUUCCGAAAAUCCUGAGCACCCUAUUGCUCUUGAAAUUCUUGCUUGCUUGCAUUAUGGUUAAUCCCAUAAGUCUCGUAAUCUUAUUGUCAUUCCUUGUCAUUAUCACUUUGAGUCCGUUGAUUCAAUUUGUUGCGAAUGCCCGCAAUCCUCAAUCAUAUCCUAGAAUUCAUUCUUCCGGCUCAGGCGACAUUUUAAACGUGAGCUGGAUCUCGACCUAUCAAAUUGCCAUCGAUUGUACCCCUAAGCCUACUCAACUUAUCCAUCCUUGAUCAGAGCGUUGAUUCUGACCCCAUGAUUUGGAAAUCAUAAUUCUUUUUCAUUUGAACUUUGAGUUAGUCAGUUGUUUCUAUAACCAGAUCUCCUUGCGUUCUUCUUCCUCUGGUUGAGUACCGAUGCUCACAUUAGAUCCCUUGUGGACCAUCGGUUCCUUUGUUGGAUUUUAUCCGACAGUGUCCUCCAUAUUAAAUAAGCUGGUGAGCUUUUCCUCGGCUACAUAAUGCCUUUAGUAAAUUGUAUCCUCUGCUUUGUCAACCAUGCUCUACUUUUGAGCUUGUGUUAUUUACUCCUGAAGUUUGUAGUAUAUCUUUCUACGAUGCCCCGAUGGGUUGAACCUAUGCCUUCCUUAAUCUGUGCGAACCCGAAAGAUUUCGCGGGACAUACUUAUCUGGUAUUGCACCAGGUAAAACUUUCGACAACUAAUGUCAUUAUUGAAAUAAGAGAGGCGAAUGGAAGGUUAUGCAUUGAAGAAGUGGGAGUCGACCUGGAACCUUUGUGUUCAUGCCCAUGGACACGAUGUAGAUCCUAUCAUGGAAGCUUCUCUUAUAAUGAUUACCCCCUUGUAAUAAGUUCAUCUGGUAUCCGUGGACGUGGUUCCGACCAUGUUUCUCCUUGAUUCCGUUUCUCGUGCAAGUUUGAGCACUUGUCUUCUGCAGAGCAAUACCCUAGUCCAACCUCUACCUUGAUCUGUCGUCGAGUAUUACCCCCUGGUAUCUCGAGAUUAUCAUGGAACUGCAUAACUUCUUAUGAGUUCUUCAUCAAGUGCUACAUUCUCACUGAUUCCAAUUUUCCACGGGCUCUGAGUUAUUAGUCACUCGAGAACACCGAUAGGUGAAUCGAUUCCGCACUCCGAUUCAAUAACUCUAAGUAAUUCUUGUUGCUUACGAGUUUAAUAAACCUUCAAGUCAUUCCUAGCCUUAUCGGCUAUAUCAUUAUCGUGCUAAAUUAUAACUGUGCUACAUGGUCCUUCUUCUCGAAGCACAAUUUUUGACGAUGAGCUAAGCUUACAUCGAUCUUCCUCAUCAUAUUAGUUCGCCUUGAACAACAAGCUUGAUUUCAAGUUUGUGUCAUACCCCUGGUUCCAAUAACUUUUCGCUUCAUCAUUCCCUUGACUUGAUGUCAUCGCCGAUCGAUUACCUCUUCAUAAAUUCUCGCUACAAAUGUGUCGUGAACAUCAUCAACCUUCUGAGCUCUUCCAAGAUAUCUAUCGAAUUCUGGAUGAGAAAUACCAUCCUUGCCCUCGAUGAUUUGUUUUAUCAUCGACCAUUUUAUUGCCUUCCAUUCAACACAAACUUGUUCGUGUUUUGUGUUGUACCUUGAUUUCCUUGCUAUCUAACUUAUGAUAUGUUCUACCUUGGAGUAUUACCAUCUUUUAUGUCAAGUAUGUCGUAAGAAUUUCACCACCUCUUAAGAAUUCUUGAUGCAGGUGAUACCUUUUGCCAUAUCCGUUCAUUCCUUGGUCCACGUGUUGUUUCUAAACGAAAUACCGACAAAUGGUCUGUGAUGUAUAACUUCUAAACUUCCAGCAACCCUAUUGCUUUGAAGUUAUUGGUCCAUAGUUGCAUUCUACGUCUAUGGAUUAAUCAAUCAUCAUUCGAACAUUGAUCGUGCUACCUAGCCCAUAUUUUGGGUGCACAUUUCAACCAAUGUUUAACUGUGUAUGUUUUCCUCGAGCAUACAUCAUUAAGUCAUUCGAUCUAGCUAAUGUUAUUUCCUUGUUCACAUAGUUGUGGAAAUCCAUCUUUUGAAAAUCUCAAUGGAUUGUCGCUGCGUCAAUCAGUCACCUCCUCGCCUCUCCUUGAUUUAAUUAUGAACCCUUGUUCGGAACUCGCUUCCAUAGUUCAUCUCCCGAGAAUCUUCGAUGUCGUUUCGACAAUUUGUGUUGCACCUUUUCUUCUCAGGGAUCCUGAGUCUGAGUUAUCCUGACAUCAAUCAAAUCUGAAUCUCGGUCAGAUAUGAUGGUUGGAACAUAUUUCCAAGAGUUAUAACCUUGGCCUAUUUAUGACCCGGUAAGGUGAUGUCAUGCCUAACACACCUGGCUGGAGGACCUUUUGUUAUAAAUUCCUUUUUUUGCAAGGUUAACUAUUCUUCCAUGAGGAAAUUGUAAGACUUACUCUAUAAGUUGUUCCUGAUGGAUCCUUUGUGUAUCCAUAGCCUGAUCUUACCUAUUGACCAUGUCAAUGCUAUCUCGAAGCAUGUCUAUGUUACUCUGAUUUUCAACAGGAACAUUUGAAGCCCAAAGCUAAUUGUUUCCUGCUCAAUUAUCCAAACACUGUUGUAUGGGUAAUGUCAUGAAAUUUCUCUCCCGUACCUAAAGAGUUUUCUACAUUAUAUCAUGUCAUGGAUAUCAUGCUCUGCUUGUCCUUGGGAAGGAUAUACCAUUGAAAUAUGUGUUUAAACCCAUUUCCUUUCCAUUCUUCUGUUUAAUCUGAUAAUCAUAUUUUCCUUUCCAUUGUUUGGUUUAACCUUUCUGGUGAUCUAUAUGAUCUAAGCAGUAAUAUUCUCCUGCUUAUGUAAACCCCUCGGUGUACAACUCUGUCAGUAAGACCCUGUUACUAUUGUUGGUGACAUUUCGGUAACCACCGAUGGACGAGAACUUUGCCUAAUGGUCCGCCUCAUUUCAACGAGCAGGAAAAUGGUUCUCUUCGUCCCUCGCCCUUGGUACCGAUGAUGUUGCUGACAUAUAACUGACAGGCUACCCUCUGACAUGCCUUGCUAUCAUGAUCGUGCAAGAUGUCACCGCCCUUCCUACUUUUAACCCACAUGGUGGGCCCAUAACCCACAGUUCCACAUGAUCGAAACCUGACUCUCCUGUGCACCCCCUGUUCCCAAAUUUAUUCAUUGCGCGUGGCCUCGUAUGUAAUCCACGGACCAUCGUCCUACUGAUCUAUACUGGCAUCAGACAUAAUACUUAUUCCGAUUGCUUUGAACCCCUUUCACACUUUGUUUCAGGCUUUGAACGAUUGCCUGCCCGUUUGAAACUUCUCACGGUACUUUCUUACUUGCUCUCGGCUUUUCUUAAGGUUUAGUUCGAGAGAUACUUUCCGCCACCUUCCCCGAUGAUAUUGACCAGAUAUUAAACCCUGCGGAAGUCCGUUCUUCCAGAAUACCCCCUUACUCUGUCGUAAGUACGAUGGAGUUCCCGAAGAAAGGACGACAACUUUAUCAUGAUGACCUGAAACAGCAGAAUGAAGACAUCAAUGUAUUGGACCAGCCUCUUCGAGAAGAGCAAGCCAGGAUGAGAAGACCCGCUAGAUUCGUUACCAAACCUUCCCCCCUUACUCCCCUCUUAAAUCUCGGGACGAGAUUUCUUGUAGUGGAGGAGAAUUGUGACGCCCGGAUAAUCAAGCUACAGUAAAACUCUGCUAAUGAUGCCACGUCACCUCCGUUACUGUUUCUAAUCCUUCGUUAGUUCAAAACCGAUUCAAAAAUCAAUUCAAAAUAUGGCAAACAACAAAAGUUUUCAAAUAUUAAAACUAAAAUGUUCGGGGGGAUUCAAAUAAAUCAUGGAUAAUUAUGAUGGAGAAAACCACACUUAUAUAAAAUCUUUAAAUACUCAAAAAUAAAUAAAACAGUAGUCAAAACAAUUAUUGAAAUGCCGUUAUAAUUAAUAAAAUGUUAAACUAUUCUAAUUAGGUGUUAAACUUUUUAUCGCAGUGGGUUUAGUGGUAGUACUAAUUUAGGGAUCAUUUUGUGCUUUACAAAACUAAAAUAAAAUGAGAAAUAAAAUAAAACAGUAAAGGUAAAUAAAUAAAAGAAAACACAAAAAAAAAACAGAAGACAAUAAAAAAAAGGGAAAAG